rnacentral:rRNA from 1 species
UGGUGAGUAACACGUAAGCAACCUGCCUAUCAGAGGGGAACAACAGUUAGAAAUGACUGCUAAUACCGCAUAUGCCUUGAGUAUUGCAUGAUACAAAAGGGAAAGGAGAAAUCCGCUGAUAGAUGGGCUUGCGUCUGAUUAGCUAGUUGGUGGGGUAAAGGCCUACCAAGGCGACGAUCAGUAGCCGGACUGAGAGGUUGAACGGCCACAUUGGGACUGAGAUACGGCCCAGACUCCUACGGGAGGCAGCAGUCGGGAAUAUUGCGCAAUGGAGGGAACUCUGACGCAGUGACGCCGCGUGCAGGAAGAAGGUUUUCGGAUUGUAAACUGCUUUAGACAGGGAAGAUAAUGACAGUACCUGUAGAAUAAGCUCCGGCUAACUACGUGCCAGCAGCCGCGGUAAUACGUAGGGAGCAAGCGUUAUCCGGAUUUAUUGGGUGUAAAGGGUGCGUAGACGGGAAGGCAAGUUAGUUGUGAAAUCCCUCGGCUUAACUGAGGAACUGCAACUAAAACUAUCUUUCUUGAGUGCUGGAGAGGAAAGUGGAAUUCCUAGUGUAGCGGUGAAAUGCGUAGAUAUUAGGAGGAACACCAGUGGCGAAGGCGACUUUCUGGACAGUAACUGACGUUGAGGCACGAAAGUGUGGGGAGCAAACAGGAUUAGAUACCCUGGUAGUCCACACCGUAAACGAU